GUUAAUGUAGCUUAAUCACCAAAGCAAGGCACUGAAAAUGCCUAGAUGAGUAAACUACUCCAUAAACA
rnacentral:tRNA from 1 species